ACUAGGUCUACUGGAAGCCAAUUUAACUAAUGAACAGUAAAUACAAGGUGAGUAAGAAGCUGAAUGUAAGUAUAAUAGGAAAUUAACUAAGCAGAUAAACAAAUGACUAUAAGUAACAAUCAAGGUAAAUGACGAUAGCAGUGUAAAGGAAUGUCAAGCAUAGUAGAAGGCUAACUGACCAUGAUCUGCAUAGGCAAAUGUAAAGUAACAGUAAGUGAAUAUCUGCAUGUAAUAUAAACAACUCUCUAUACCUAUCUCUUUACCUGUUGUAUUGUCAUCUUUACACAUAUAGAGAGCGGAAAAGAAAGCAAUUGCAUAAUGUAUGCAUCAAUGUAACUACCACGAAACAAGUGCUGCGAUAAUACCCAAUCUCAACGACCGACUCAUACGUCCGAUCAAGCCUGCGCCCGCCUAGGUCAGAAUCGCACUCCCACAGGUGCACCGUCGACCCCUAGGCUCUACCCUCAUGGGUACACAUAUCACAAACAUAACCAGCCAGCAUCCGGAGCGGCACUCGAAGGGGAUCGACCCCUACCAAGUCACAUGUCACAUAGCACAAGUACUGUCAGCUCAAGGUGGCCUUGCAGGCUAUAGUCUAUGUCAUGGUCAAUAAUAUCACAAUACCCAAUCCGAUGUCCUCAAUGUAAUCAUAGAGUGAACAGUAGGUCAAAUCUCAUAAUCACAUAAACAAAGACCAUCUCUAUGUCCAAAUCUCUGUACACUACUCUCACUCUAUCCACAGUCACUGACAAACAACAUAUGGCAUGCACGAUACAAGUGACUAAUAAUGAUGCAUCAAGAUAACAUUUCUUAUCACAUACUAUAUGCCAUGCACGAUACAAGUGAGUGUUAGAUGACUAAAUCAAGAUACAUGAAACGUUAAUUGGCUUCCCAUGACUGGAACUAAAAUAUCUAAUUAUUGCUAACAAUACUAUUUCAUGGCGAGGAAGAAGUGUAACAUACCAGAUUUUGGUAUAAAAAUAAAAAUAAAUAAAAAUAGUGUGAGCAACUAUUUUUAUUGGAUUUGUAGGAGUAAAACAUAAGUCAGAAAUGACUUGUGCUGAAAUCGGAAUUAAAACAGAAAAUCUAGAAUUUUCUGUUGGAGACGGGACAGAAAAAUAAGCAGAAAAUGCACAGUCUCAGAAAAUUAUGAAAAUUGGCAGAGAUGUCAGAAAUAUUUUUAUGAGGCUAGAUUUAAGGUUUCAUAUUUUUCUGACACCCAUAGAGUGAGAAAUAAAAUCCGAAAGCUAUCUGAUAAAGAUUGCAAUUCGGUACAGUUUU
rnacentral:lncRNA from 1 species